rnacentral:rRNA from 1 species
UACGUAGGGUGCAAGCGUUAUUCGGAAUUACUGGGCGUAAAGCGUGCGCAGGCGGUUUUUUAAGUCUGUUGUGAAAUCCCCGGGCUUAACCUGGGAAUGGCGAUGGAGACUGCAAGGCUAGAAUCUGGCAGAGGGGGGUAGAAUUCCACGUGUAGCAGUGAAAUGCGUAGAGAUGUGGAGGAACACCGCUGGCGAAGGCAGCCCCCUGGGUCAAGAUUGACGCUCAUGCACGAAAGCGUGGGGAGCAAACAGG